rnacentral:rRNA from 1 species
ACCCUUUAAUGUUUGAUGUUCUAACGUGGACCCGUGAUCCGGGUUGCGGACAGUGUCUGGUGGGUAGUUUGACUGGGGCGGUCUCCUCCUAAAGAGUAACGGAGGAGCACGAAGGUUGGCUAAUCCUGGUCGGACAUCAGGAGGUUAGUGCAAUGGCAUAAGCCAGCUUGACUGCGAGCGUGACGGCGCGAGCAGGUGCGAAAGCAGGUCAUAGUGAUCCGGUGGUUCUGAAUGGAAGGGCCAUCGCUCAACGGAUAAAAGGUACUCCGGGGAUAACAGGCUGAUACCGCCCAAGAGUUCAUAUCGACGGCGGUGUUUGGCACCUCGAUGUCGGCUCAUCACAUCCUGGGGCUGAAGUAGGUCCCAAGGGUAUGGCUGUUCGCCAUUUAAAGUGGUACGCGAGCUGGGUUUAGAACGUCGUGAGACAGUUCGGUCCCUAUCUGCCGUGGGCGCUGGAGAACUGAGGGGGGCUGCUCCUAGUACGAGAGGACCGGAGUGGACGCAUCACUGGUGUUCGGGUUGUCAUGCCAAUGGCACUGCCCGGUAGCUAAAUGCGGAAGAGAUAAGUGCUGAAAGCAUCUAAGCACGAAACUUGCCCCGAGAUGAGUUCUCCCUGAGACUUAAAGUCUCCUGAAGGAACGUUGAAGACGACGACGUUGAUAGGCCGGGUGUGUAAGCG